AUUACAGAGUGUGAUGCCAUACGGAACUCAGUUUCGUGUGGUUGACCCUCCACCCGUGUCGAUUAUCUCAUGUUGCUUUGGCGGACUCGGCUUGCCCGCGCCCACUUUGGUGGGGGAAUGUCCGCCAGGGAAGACCAAAACUCUUGUUAUCAGUGAUGUCUGAGGAUGAUAUAUAAUCAUGAAAACUUUCAACAACGGAUCUCUUGGCUCUGGCAUCGAUGAAGAACGCAGCGAAAUGCGAUAAGUAAUGUGAAUUGCAGAAUUUAGUGAAUCAUCGAAUCUUUGAACGCACAUUGCGCCCCUGGGAAUUCCCAGGGGCAUGCCUGUUCGAGCGUCCGUAACAACCUCUCAAGCCUGGCUUGGUCUUGGGACACGCUGCUCUAGCGGCGGUCCUUAAAAGCAGUGGCGGGCCUAUGUAACUCUCCGCGUAGUAAUAUACAUCUCGCGAUAGAGAAGCAGAAGGACUUGCCAAAAAUCCUUAAUUGCUCAGGUUGACCUCGAAUCAGGUAGGGAUACCCGCUGAACUUAAGCAUAUCAAUAAGCGGAGGA
rnacentral:rRNA from 1 species